ensembl:lncRNA
CGAGUCAUGGGAAAAAGUAAAAAACCACCAUCAAGUCCAAGACCAGGACUAGCUGGGAUCGAGUCAAGAUCAAGAUGGAGUCCACGUAAAAGCGAGGCCGGGUCAAGAUCGUGUCCACGUAAAAGCGAGGCCGAGUCAAGACGGAGUCCACGUAAAAGCGAGGCCGGGUCAAGAUCGCGUCCACGUAAAAGCGAGGCCGAGUCAAGAUGGAGUCCACGUAAAAGCGAGGCCGAGUCAAGAUCGCGUCCACGUAAAAUCGAGGCCGAGUCAAGACGGAGUCCACAUAAAAGCGAGGCGAGUCAAGACGGAGUCCACAUAAAAGCGAGGCCGAGUCAAGACGGAGUCCACAUAAAAGCGAGGCCGAGUCAAGACGGAGUCCACAUAAAAGCGAGGCGAGUCAAGACG